rnacentral:tRNA from 1 species
UCCUCAGUAGCUCAGCUGGUUAGAGCNNCAUCUGACUGUUAAUCAGAGGGUCGCUGGUUCAAGUCCAGCCUGAGGAG